GAGUAACUUUAGCUUGAUAUAGUGUUAUUUCAUGGUUGAUUAUGCCUUGAUUGUUUUGCUUGAUCUGAAUGUUUUCAGUCUUUGCUUAAUUUUACCUGUGACUGAAAGAGUUUUGAAAACAUCAUACAGAAUAAGCUAUCGUCUGGCAAGUAAGGAAAGCUGUAAUUUUUAAGUUUAGAGGUUCAAGUGGCCUAGUAGUCAUUGGUACCAACUUCUACUUUCUAUAGCUAGAGUUUAAUGAGUGACACAACUGACCUGUGUCAGAUCAGAAAGAAAACAUAAGGGCAGUACAAUUUCAUAAAGUCUACUAUUGUGCUUAAAACUUUCCAUUUCCUCAUUUUAUACAUUUAACUGAUUGUACCAGAUUCCACUGAUAGUAAUAAUUAAGGGAAGAGUUUAAGAUGAUGUAUUUCUGGACAUUAAACCCAUACAACCCA
ensembl:lncRNA novel transcript, antisense to TERF1